rnacentral:rRNA from 1 species
GCCGGAUUUAGCCCAAACAUAACCUCAACUAACUAUUCUAUAAAACAAAACAUUUACCCCUUGAAGAGUAUAGGAGAUAGAAAUUCUAACCUGGCGCUAUAGAGAAAGUACCGUAAGGGAACAAUGAAAGAAUACUCCUAAAGCAAUAAACAGCAAAGAUUACCCCUUCUACCUUUUGCAUAAUGAUUUAACCAGAAAUAAUCUAGCAAAGAGAACUUAAGUUAGCCACCCCGAAACCAGACGAGCUAUCCACGAGCAGCCCCAACAGAGCAAACUCAUCUAUGUGGCAAAAUAGUGAAAAGACUUAUGGAUAGAGGUGACAAGCCUAUCGAGCCUGGUGAUAGCUGGUUGUCCAGAAAAGAAUCUUAGUUCAGACCUAAGCCUACCUAAAAACCCUAUAAUUUUACUGUAAGCUUAAGUAAUAGUCUAAAAGGGGACAGCCUUUUAGAUACAGGAUACAACCUUGACUAGUGAGUAAACAGCAAGAUACACCACAGUAGGCCUAAAAGCAGCCAUCAGUAAAGAAAGCGUUCAAGCUCAACAAUAUUACACCAUUUUAAUCCCAGAGAUUACUAUUAACUCCUAACAUAAAACUGGACCACUCUAUAAUAAUAUAGAAGAAAUAAUGUUAAUAUGAGUAACAAGAAACAUUUUCUCCCCGCACAAGUGUAUAUCAGAACGGAUGCCCACUGAUAGUUAACACAACUAAAGAAAAUCUCAUAACAGGAUCUUUACACACCAAAUGUUAACCCAACACAGGAGUGCACUCAAGGAAAGAUUAAAAGGAGUAAAAGGAACUCGGCAAACACAAACCCCGCCUGUUUACCAAAAACAUCACCUCCAGCAUAUCCAGUAUUGGAGGCACUGCCUGCCCAGUGACUUAAAUGUUCAACGGCCGCGGUAUCCUGACCGUGCAAAGGUAGCAUAAUCACUUGUUCUCUAAAUAAGGACUUGUAUGAACGGCUACACGAGGGUUUUACUGUCUCUUGCUCCCAAUCAGUGAAAUUGACCUCCCCGUGAAGAGGCGGGGAUGCGCCAAUAAGACGAGAAGACCCUAUGGAGCUUUAAUUAGCUAGCCUAAAAUGAUUUUAUAAUAACCAAAAGGAACAAAAUUAUCUAAAAUAAGCUAGCAAUUUAGGUUGGGGUGACCUCGGAGUAUAAAAACCCCUCCGAGUGAUUCAAAUCUAGACAUACCAGUCAAAACCAAAUCACUUAUUGACCCAAACGUAUUUGAUCAACGAAACAAGUUACCCUAGGGAUAACAGCGCAAUCCUAUUUAAGAGUCCCUAUCGACAAUAGGGUUUACGACCUCGAUGUUGGAUCAGGACAUCCCAAUGGUGCAGCAGCUAUUAACGGUUCGUUUGUUCAACGAUUAAAGUCCUACGUGAUCUGAGUUCAGACCGGAGCAAUCCAGGUCGGUUUCUAUCUAUUCUAUGCCUUUCCCAGUACGAAAGGACAAGAAAGGCAAGGCCUACCUAACCCACAGGCGCCUUCGAACAAUUAACAGAUGAUAUAAUCUCAAUCUGAUUUAUCAUAAAUCCAAACCCCAAGACCCGGGGUUA